CCAGAGGGUCGGGCGGCCGCGGCCCGCGCAAGCGGGGCGAGGAAAGUCCGGGCUCCACGAAACAACGGUGCCGGAUAACGUCCGGCGGAUCGCGGGUUCGCCCGUGGUUCAGGGACAGUGCAACAGAGAGCAGGUCGCACAGGCUUCGGCCCUGCGAAGGUGAAAGGGUGCGGUAAGAGCGCACCGCGCCCCCGGCAACGGCGGGCGGCACGGUAAACCCCACCGGGAGCAAGACCGAAUAGGGAUGGCGUUGUCCGUUCUUCGGAACGGGCAGGGGCGGUUUCGGCCCCGACCGUCCGGGUUGGUUGCUUGAGACCGGGAGUAAUCCCGGUCCUAGAGGAAUGGUCGCCCAUCCGCCCGUGCGUCCCUUCGGGAUACGGCGGCGCGGUGGACAGAACCCGGCUUAUAGACCCUCUGGCAUU
rnacentral:RNase_P_RNA from 1 species